UUCAAGCUUUUGCUAAAUAUAUUUAUUAAAUAGACCAGAAAAACAAACAUGUAACGUUACAGGACUCUGACACAAGGUGAAGAAAUGUUUUUUUUUUUUUUUUUUUACUUUGAACUGUAGUCUGAGGUCCAUUUGGACCCAAACGCAUCUGGCCUCUUAAACGUGAUUGGCUUGGUAAUACAUUUUCUUUAUUUCAUAAGAAAGAUGGACCUCAUGAAACGCUCGUCAGUGGAUACGCAUUUAUUUGGAUUUAGUGUGAAUUAUAAAAUUCACUCUGUAGGUUUUUUUUUUUUCCUAUAACGUUUCACAUUUAAACAACACACCUUUUUCUCUACUGAAGCAUUUUAGUGCUUUUUAGGAGCUGGAUUUUGUCUUAUAACAAGAAAAAUAGGCUACUCUAUUCGAGGCAUAUGAAUGCUUCUUUGUCUCGGAAGUGGGCGGGGUCUUUUAGCCGAUUUAAAUCCGGAGUUUUCCGAUCUUGUCCGAUCCACUGCUCAGGCGUUGCAGCUGCGUGUUCUUCUCGCAUCUUCAUCCCGCGCAGCCCUUCCACCAUGGUGGACAUACUGAUGUUGAUGUUUUUCGCCGUCAUGGGUCUCGUCUUCCUCUCCUACAUUAUCUACAUGCUGUGAUGUGUCGGUCAGCCGUUUUCACAGCGGGACGGAGGUGGGGUUUUGUCCCUCCUACAUCCCUGCUUACCGUCAUAGACAUAGACUGAAGAACCUCAUGCAGGUCAUGAUGUUUCCCCUCUCCGCUCUAAGAUGGGACAUAAGGGGAUCCCUGAGGAAGAGGACUGGACACCUUUCAUCUUUUCUUAUUAUUUUCCUCCAUCUGUGGCCUCGCCUUAUCUCUUCCAACACCCCUGCAGCCCUUAUUUACUCUUACCUUCAAUUAGUCUUACAUCAGCAUAAAACCAGUAAAUCCAUUGAUAUGAAUGAAUACAGUGUUUUUGUUGCCAGUAUGUUCUCCUUCCUGCUCUCUAUAUUAAUUUUAGCAACAGAUUACUCAUAAUGCAGCAUAAAAAUGGGUCAUUUCCUGCUUUUGUCCCAUCUGGCAGAGAAUUCCCUGUUUGGAGAUGGAUUGUUUAUUCAUAUUCAUUUCAUUCCACUGAUGUUGGGUUUACAGAUGCACUGAUAAUCAGCUAAAUAUGUUUCACACGAUGUUAAUUAAAAUGAUUUAAAUACA